rfam:Blautia hydrogenotrophica CAG:147 genomic scaffold, scf175
CUAAAAAAUCCGCCGAGUGUUAUACAAAACAACGGGAGAACCAAUCUCUGGGGUGAAUUCUUUUUGAAAGAGAACCUUCUUCUCUAACCCGUCAGCUAAUCUCGUAGGCGAAGAAGGUUUUGUUC